UACGUAGGGGGCGAGCGUUGUCCGGAAUCAUUGGGCGUAAAGCGCGUGUAGGCGGCCCGGUAAGUCCGCUGUGAAAGUCCAGGGCUCAACCCUGGGAUGCCGGUGGAUACUGUCGGGCUCGAGUCCGGAAGAGGCGAGUGGAAUUCCUGGUGUAGCGGUGAAAUGGCGCAGAUAUCAGGAGGAACACCAAUGGCGAAGGCAGCUCGCUGGGACGUGACUGACGCUGAGACGCGAAAGCGUGGGGAGCAAACAGGAU
rnacentral:rRNA from 1 species